UUCUUUUAAAUGAACCCCGGGAACUGGGGCUAAUCCCAGAUAGAUGAGAACCCCUGGAAUGGGUUUUCGUCCAAAAGGCACCGCGGUUAUGCUCUGCGGUGUCGCUCAAGGAUGGGGCCGCGUCCGAUCAGGCUGUUGGUGAGGCAAUGGCUCACCAAACCUAUAACCGGUACGGGCCGUGGGAGCGGGAGCCCGGAGAUGGGAACUGAGACAAGGUCCCAGGCCCUACGGGGCGCAGCAGUUACGAAAACUUGUCAAUGCACGAAAGUGUGAACGGGCUACCCCGAGUGCCGUCCGCUGAGGAUGGCUUUUCUCUGCUGUAAGAAGGCGGAGGAAUAAGGCGAGGGCAAGUCUGGUGUCAGCCGCCGCGGUAAUACCAGCUCGCCGAGUGGUAGGGAUGAUUAUUGGGCCUAAAGCGUCCGUAGCCGGCCUUCAAGUCUCUUGUUAAAUCCAACGAUUCAAUCGCUGGACUGCAGGAGAUACUGUCAGGCUGGGGGGCGGGAGAAGCCGACGGUAUUUUCGGGGUAGGGGUAAAAUCCUAUAAUCCCGGGAAGACCACCAGUGGCGUAGGCGGUCGGCUAGCACGCGCUCGACGGUGAGGGACGAAAGCUGGGGGAGCGAACCGGAUUAGAUACCCGGGUAGUCUCAGCUGUAAACGAUGCUGGCUAGGUGUUGAAGCGGCUACGAGCCGCUUCAGUGCCGCAGGGAAGCCAUUAAGCCAGCCGCCUGGGGAGUACGGCCGCAAGGCUGAAACUUAAAGGAAUUGGCGGGGGAGCAC
rnacentral:rRNA from 1 species